ACGAACGCUGGCGGCGUGGAUAAGACAUGCAAGUCGAACGGAAUACUUUCUGUAGCAAUACGGGGAGUGUUUAGUGGCGUAAGGGUGCGUAACACGUGGGCAAUUUGCCCUGAAGUGGGGGAUAGCUCGCCGAAAGGCGAAUUAAUACCGCAUGAGGUUAGCCAAGACAUCUUGGCGACACCAAAGCCGGGGAAACCUGGUGCUUCUGGAUGAGCCCGCGGCCUAUCAGCUAGUUGGUGAGGUCACGGCUCACCAAGGCGAUGACGGGUAGCUGGUCUGAGAGGACGACCAGCCACACUGGAACUGAGAGACGGUCCAGACACCUACGGGUGGCAGCAGUCGAGAAUUUUUCUCAAUGGGGGCAACCCUGAAGGAGCGACGCCGCGUGGAGGAUGAAGGUCUUCGGAUUGUAAACUCCUGUCAUUAGGGAACAAGUGCUACUGGAGUCACUGCCGGUAGUUUGAUAGUACCUGAAGAGGAAGAGACGGCUAACUCUGUGCCAGCAGCCGCGGUAAUACAGAGGUCUCAAGCGUUGUUCGGAUUCAUUGGGCGUAAAGGGUGCGUAGGUGGCGGGGCCAGUCAGGUGUGAAAUCCCGGGGCUUAACCCUGGAACUGCAUUUGAUACUGCCUUGCUGGAGAACUGGAGAGGAGACUGGAAUUUACGGUGUAGCAGUGAAAUGCGUAGAGAUCGUAAGGAAGACCAGUGGCGAAGGCGAGUCUCUGGACAGUUACUGACACUGAGGCACGAAGGCCAGGGGAGCAAACGGGAUUAGAUACCCCGGUAGUCCUGGCAGUAAACGGUGCGCGUUUGGUGUGGGAGGAUUCGACCCCUUCCGUGCCGGAGCUAACGCGUUAAACGCGCCGCCUGGGGAGUACGGUCGCAAGAUUAAAACUCAAAGAAAUUGACGGGGGCCCGCACAAGCGGUGGAGUAUGUGGCUUAAUUCGAUGCAACGCGAAGAACCUUACCUGGCCUUGACAUGCAUUGUGUAAUUGGUGAAAGCCAGUGACUGGAGCAAUCCAGGCCUUGCACAGGUGCUGCAUGGCUGUCGUCAGCUCGUGUCGUGAGAUGUUGGGUUAAGUCCCGCAACGAGCGCAACCCCUGUGAACUGUUGCCACUGGGCCGAGAGGCUCAAGCACUCUGUUCAGACUGCCCUGUGAAACGGGGAGGAAGGUGGGGAUGACGCCAAGUCAGCAUGGCCCUUACGGCCAGGGCUGCACACGUACUACAAUGCCCAGCACAGAAGGAACCGAGACCGCGAGGUGGAGGAAAUCAUGUAAAACUGGGCUCAAUUCGGAUCGCAGGCUGCAACUCGCCUGCGUGAAGCCGGAAUCGCUAGUAAUGGCGCAUCAGCUACGGCGCCGUGAAUACGUUCCCGGGCCUUGUACACACCGCCCGUCACAUCAUGGAAGUCACUUGUACCCGAAGUAUGUGCGCCAACCUGCAAGGGGGGCAGCAUCCUAAGGUAUGAGUGGUAACUGGGAUG
rnacentral:rRNA from 1 species